rnacentral:rRNA from 1 species
GACGAACGCUGGCGGCGUGCUUAACACAUGCAAGUCGAACGGAAAGGCCCUGCUUUUGUGGGGUGCUCGAGUGGCGAACGGGUGAGUAACACGUGAGUAACCUGCCCUUGACUUUGGGAUAACUUCAGGAAACUGGGGCUAAUACCGGAUAGGAGCUCCUGCUGCAUGGUGGGGGUUGGAAAGUUUCGGCGGGUGGGGAUGGACGCGCGGCUUAUCAGCUUGUUGGUGGGGUAGUGGCUGACCAAGGCUUUGACGGGUAGCCGGCCUGAGAGGGUGACCGGCCACAUGGGGACUGAGAGACGGCCCAGACUCCUACGGGAGGCAGCAGUGGGGAAUAUUGCACAAUGGGCGGAAGCCUGAUGCAGCAACGCCGCGUGCGGGAUGACGGCCUUCGGGUUGUAAACCGCUUUCGCCUGUGACGAAGCGUGAGUGACGGUAAUGGGUAAAGAAGCACCGGCUAACUACGUG